AACCAACAGGCAUCUCCAAUGACCACAGAAGUCUGCGAGCCCCCCCCCCACCUGCCAGCUCAAUGUUCAAGGGGCUCCUCGUCUCAGGUGCAUGCUCACGGGCCUGCCACAUGCUCGCUGGGACACUGGCUCAGCAUCUCACUGGCCCUGCUGGGAUGCUGUUUCUUUCUGCCAUCACCCAGGAGUCCAUGUGGAAGAAGGGCUGCACCUGUGGUAUACAGGGUGGCAUGGAAGGUCCUGGCUGGCAUGCACUCACAGGUCAGCAGCAGCUCUGGGGAGAGGACUUGGAGACUUCGCCUAUCCUACCCUGUCUCUCAGCAGUCCUUCCAGACCAACCACUCUUGCUCUUACAUAGAGGCCAAAGGAGCAGCCAGAGCACAUCUUAAGGAAAGGAAUGGGCCCAUCUGCCUUCAGAAGCUGACUGAAGCCCAGCUGGACCUAGGGAGAAUUGACACCUAAGGAGCUCUCGAUGGCGUCACCCACCACCUGCAUUCACCUAGGCGUGCAGAUGUUCCUGUUUGCAAUGGACCAUGCGCUACACAGAUGGCCAUGAGGAAUUCAGCCAACACCACAGGAAUUU
rnacentral:lncRNA from 1 species